rnacentral:rRNA from 1 species
CCUACGGGAGGCAGCAGUGAGGAAUAUUGGUCAAUGGACGAGAGUCUGAACCAGCCAAGUAGCGUGAAGGAUGACUGCCCUAUGGGUUGUAAACUUCUUUUAUAUGGGAAUAAAAUGUUCCACGUGUGGGAUUUUGUAUGUACCAUAUGAAUAAGGAUCGGCUAACUCCGUGCCAGCAGCCGCGGUAAUACGGAGGAUCCGAGCGUUAUCCGGAUUUAUUGGGUUUAAAGGGAGCGUAGGUGGAUUGUUAAGUCAGUUGUGAAAGUUUGCGGCUCAACCGUAAAAUUGCAGUUGAAACUGGCAGUCUUGAGUACAGUAGAGGUGGGCGGAAUUCGUGGUGUAGCGGUGAAAUGCUUAGAUAUCACGAAGAACUCCGAUUGCGAAGGCAGUUCACUGGACCGCAACUGACACUGAGGCUCGAAAGUGUGGGUAUCAAACAGGAUUAGAUACCCGAGUAGUC